CAAGACCUUGCGCUUUUGGAGCGGCCGAUGCCCGAUUAGCUUGUUGGUGAGGUAAAAGCUCACCAAGGCUUCGAUCAGUAGCUGGUCUGAGAGGACGACCAGCCACACUGGGACUGAGACACGGCCCAGACUCCUGCGGGAGGCAGCAGUGGGGAAUUUUGGACAAUGGGGGCAACCCUGAUCCAGCCAUGCCGCAUGAGUGAAGAAGGCCUUCGGGUUGUAAAGCUCUUUCAGCCGGAACGAAACGGUUACGGUUAAUACCCGUGACUACUGACGGUACCGGAAGAAGAAGCACCGGCUAACUACGUGCCAGCAGCCGCGGUAAUACGUAGGGUGCGAGCGUUAAUCGGAAUUACUGGGCGUAAAGCGUGCGCAGGUGGUUUUGUAAGUCAGAUGUGAAAUCCCCGGGCUUAACCUGGGAACC
rnacentral:rRNA from 1 species